rnacentral:rRNA from 1 species
GACGAACGCUGGCGGCGUGCUUAACACAUGCAAGUCGAACGGAAAGGCCCUGCUUUUGUGGGGUGCUCGAGUGGCGAACGGGUGAGUAACACGUGAGUAACCUGCCCUUGACUUUGGGAUAACUUCAGGAAACUGGGGCUAAUACCGGAUAGGAGCUCCUGCUGCAUGGUGGGGGUUGGAAAGUUUCGGCGGUUGGGGAUGGACUCGCGGCUUAUCAGCUUGUUGGUGGGGUAGUGGCUUACCAAGGCUUUGACGGGUAGCCGGCCUGAGAGGGUGACCGGCCACAUUGGGACUGAGAUACGGCCCAGACUCCUACGGGAGGCAGCAGUGGGGAAUAUUGCACAGUGGGCGGAAGCCUGAUGCAGCAACGCCGCGUGCGGGAUGACUGCCUUCGGGUUGUAAACCGCUUUCGCCUGUGACGAAGCGUGAGUGACGGUAAUGGGUAAAGAAGCACCGGCUAACUACGUG